rnacentral:misc_RNA from 1 species
GUGAAUCAUCGAAUUUUUGAACGCAAAUUGCACUCCCUGGUAUUCCGGAGAGUAUGCCUGUUUGAGGGUCAGUUUAAAUAAAAAUCGGUGUGGUUGCUGACUUGCGUGGUUACGCACCGGUUGUGGGUCUUCUCUCCUUCGGUUAAGUGACCUAAAAUUUUGCCUGAUUUUUUCUUAUGUAUUUAACUGAUUUUAUGUAUGUUUUC